rnacentral:sRNA from 1 species
CUCUUGCUUCUGCAGGGAGCCAGAGAGAGGCUCUGAGAAGAAGACCAGCGGCCCCCUUUCUCCUCCCUCAGGGCCGCCUGGCCCGGCGCCUGCAGGUCCCGCCGUGCGGCUGGGUUCCCUGCCCUACUCCCUGCUCUUCCGUGUCCUGCUGCAGUGCUUGAAGCAGGAGUCUGACUGGAAGGUGCUGAAGCUGGUUCUGGGCAGGCUGCCCGAGUCCCUGCGCUACAAAGUGCUCAUCUUUACUUCCCCUUGCAGUGUGGACCAGCUGUGCUCUGCUCUCUGCUCCAUGCUUUCAGGCCCAAAGACACUGGAGCGGCUCCGAGGCGCCCCAGAAGGCUUCUCCAGAACUGACCUGCACCUGGCUGUGGUUCCAGUGCUGACAGCAUUAAUCUCUUACCAUAACUACCUGGACAAAACCAAACAGCGCGAGAUGGUCUACUGCCUGGAGCAGGGCCUCAUCCACCGCUGUGCCAGCCAGUGCGUCGUGGCCUUGUCCAUCUGCAGCGUGGAGAUGCCUGACAUCAUCAUCAAGGCGCUGCCCGUCCUGGUGGUG